UGCGAGCAUAAGCGAGUCAUAGAUUUUUUUCUGAUGUAUAAAGAUACAUAGCACAUAGAUAUAGAUAUUGAUAUAAAGGUUCGAGAGGAGCAUCGCGACUGAUCAGAAUACAUAAUUCAUAAUUCAUAGUUAAAAAUGAAAGAGGAGCUUUCAACAUCCAUCAAUUCCUCCAACAUCGGUUAUCAGGGGUUUCUUGAAGCUUUCGAAGAAGCACGGUUGGAAAGAGGGAACUGGUCUUGGUGCUUCCCAGCAGGGGACUGGGGCUAUAACACUCCGAAAGAGAGAGAGGAAGGAGCUAGCAUCCCUAGGAUUCAUCUUCUCCAGCUUUCUGAUUUCAGUAAAAAGCUGAAGUAGGCAUUUUCUUUGUUGUUUCUCCA